AGAACGAACGCUGGCGGCAUGCCUAACACAUGCAAGUCGAACGGGACCUUCGGGUCUAGUGGCGCACGGGUGCGUAACGCGUGGGAAUCUGCCCUCAGGUACGGAAUAACUCAGGGAAACUUGAGCUAAUACCGUAUAAUGACUUCGGUCCAAAGAUUUAUCGCCUGAGGAUGAGCCCGCGUAGGAUUAGCUUGUUGGUGAGGUAAAAGCUCACCAAGGCGACGACGGGUAGCUGGUCUGAGAGGACGACCAGCCACACUGGAACUGAGAUACGGUCCAGACUCCUACGGGAGGCAGCAGUGGGGAAUCUUGCGCAAUGGGCGAAAGCCUGACGCAGCGACGCCGCGUGGGGAUGAAUGCUUCGGGUUGUAAACCCCUUUCGGCAGGGACGAAGCGAACGUGACGGUACCUGCAGAAGAAGCUCCGGCUAACUACGUGCCAGCCAGCCGC
rnacentral:rRNA from 1 species